AGAAGCACCGGCUAACUCCGUGCCAGCAGCCGCGGUAAUACGGAGGGUGCAAGCGUUAAUCGGAAUUACUGGGCGUAAAGCGCACGCAGGCGGUUUGUUAAGUCAGAUGUGAAAUCCCCGGGCUCAACCUGGGAACUGCAUCUGAUACUGGCAAGCUUGAGUCUCGUAGAGGGGGGUAGAAUUCCAGGUGUAGCGGUGAAAUGCGUAGAGAUCUGGAGGAAUACCGGUGGCGAAGGCGGCCCCCUGGACGAAGACUGACGCUCAGGUGCGAAAGCGUGGGGAGCAAACA
rnacentral:rRNA from 2 species